AUGCCUCUAUUAUUAAUCAUGUGCUUGCCCAAUCUGUUCCAGAACCAGAUCACACGACAUUUCUUGAUGCAGAAGAUGAUGAAGACGAUGAGACCUAUAUUGAUGAUGGAGUUGUUGCCGCAGCUACAACCGUGGGGGGAGACGAGGAUGAAAAUUUCUUUGUUUAAGUAGUUUUUAUGAAUAUUUGUUGCAUUUUGAGGACAAAGAUGAAAAUUGCUUUGAUUAAGAAAUAUGGAGCAGCUGCCCAAUCUGCCUCCAAUACUCAG
rnacentral:lncRNA from 1 species